UACGUAGGGUGCGAGCGUUAAUCGGAAUUACUGGGCGUAAAGCGUGCGCAGGCGGUGAUGUAAGACGGGUGUGAAAUCCCCGGGCCUAACCUGGGAACUGCAUUUGUGACUGCAUCGCUGGAGUGCGGCAGAGGGGGGGAUGGAAUUCCGCGUGUAGCAGUGAAAUGCGUAGAGAUGCGGAGGAACACCGAUGGCGAAGG
rnacentral:rRNA from 1 species